rnacentral:rRNA from 1 species
UAACGCGUGGGAAUAUUCCCUUGGGUACGGAACAACGUCGGGAAACUGACGCUAAUACUGUAUGAUGACUUCGGUCCAAAGAUUUAUCGCCCAAGGAUUGGCCCGCGUCUGAUUAGCUAGUUGGUGAGGUAACGGCUCACCAAGGCGACGAUCAGUAGCUGGUCUGAGAGGAUGAUCAGCCACACUGGAACUGACACACGGUCCAGACUCCUACGGGAGGCAGCAGUGAGGAAUAUUGGACAAUGGGGGAAACCCUGAUCCAGCCAUGCCGCGUGAGUGAUGAAGGCCUUCGGGUUGUAAAGCUCUUUUAAUGGUGAAGAUAAUGACGGUAGCCAUAGAAAAAGCCCCGGCUAAAUUCGUGCCAGCAGCCGCGGUAAUACGAAUGGGGCAAGCGUUGUUCGGAAUCACUGGGCUUAAAGCGUGCGUAGGCGGAUUUGCAAGUCAGAAGUGAAAUCCCCGGGCUUAACCCGGGAAUUGCUUUUGAAACUGCAAAUCUAGAAUCCUGGAGAGGUUGGGAGAAUUCCGAGUGUAGAGGUGAAAUUCGCAGAUAUUCGGAGGAAUACCAGUGGCGUAGGCGCCCAACUGGACAGGUAUUGACGCUGAGGUACGAAAGCGUGGGUAGCAAACAGGAUUAGAUACCCUGGUAGUCCACGCCGUAAACGAUGUGUGCUAGUUGUCGGAGUCUUAAGGUUCCGGUGACGCAGCGAAAGUUUUAAGCACACCGCCUGGGGAGUACGGCCGCAAGGUUA